GUUAACUGAGUUUGUAGAGUGCUCCACUGAAAAUGGAGAGGUCCCUGGUUCGAUACCACGAC
rnacentral:tRNA from 1 species